GUUUAUCACCAUUCCAGAUUGAAUAUACCCGAUCUCGUCUGAUCUGGGAAGUCAAGCAAUCUCGGGCUUGGUUAGUACUUGGAUGGGUGACCGCUUGGGAAUACCAAGUGUGAUAAGCA
rnacentral:rRNA from 1 species